AACGAACGUUAGCGGCGCGCCUAAGACAUGCAAGUCGAGCGAGAAAGGGCUUCGGCCCCGGUAAAGCGGCGCACGGGUGAGUAACACGUAGGUAAUCAACCCCCGAGUGGUGGACAACUCUCCGAAAGGAGAGCUAAUACAGCAUGACGGGGCGGCUUUCCGAAGCCGUUCACAAAGCGGGCCUCUUCAUGAAAGCUCGCGCUUGGGGAUGAGCCUGCGGCCCAUCAGCUAGUUGGUCGGGGUAACGGCCCACCAAGGCGAAGACGGGUAGCUGGUCUGAGAGGAGGAACAGCCACACUGGAACUGAGACACGGUCCAGACUCCUACGGGAGGCAGCAGUCGGGAAUCUUCCGCAAUGGGCGCAAGCCUGAUGGAGCGACGCCGCGUGAGCGAUGAAGGCCUUCGGGUUGUAAAGCUCUGUGGGGAGGGAAGAAUAAGGUCAGGUCAAUACCCUGAUUGAUGACGGUACCUCCUUAGCAAGCACCGGCUAACUCUGUGCCAGCAGCCGCGGUAAAAC
rnacentral:rRNA from 1 species